GACGCGGGGGCUUCCCUGCGCGCGCGCUUCCCGCCCUCUGCCUGCUGGCGCUGAGGGCGGUGGGCGCUGCUCGAUGGCCGCCUCCGCUGUGAGGUAAACGGGGGCUUUCGGCCCUUCCCGGCCCCCUUUCUGGGCAGUUCCCCUCGCAGGGGUGUCCUGGCAGUCGCUCAUUGACUAUACUGUACAAUUCAGGUCUCAGCACAGAUGCAUGCGUUAUUGUAGCACGGCAUGUUGGAGGCUUAUAAAGCAAAAGCUGCUGUUACUUCAUGGUGAAAGAAUGACAACCUCCCUCCAGUACAGCACCACUUCCUAGCGGCACCAGCAGGACAGCCUGAUCUCUCCCUCUGCGUGUUGCAAGCACCUUUUUGUCUGCAGGUUAUUGCAAAGGCAGCAAAUAGAAGGGAUGAAUCGAUUCCCUGCAGGAUGUAUGUUCUCUGUGGGACAAAGCCAGAACUGCUCAAUAGUUCUUGUAGAGCCCUUUCCUGGCAGCUCCUGGCUGUCCUUGGCAUCAGCACUUGGAGCUCUAGCCUUUGGAGCACGUAAACCUGGGUUCCCACCCGAGAGGCUCCACAAAGCGGUCCUCUAACAAGACAAAUUCCUGAUGCUGUGCCCUCAGCGCUACCUCGAGGUGGAGUUUCCUCUUGCGAAACCAGCGGGUGCUGAAAAUGUCCUGCUGGCUCGGAUGACUGGGAAAGGCUUUGCUCACUGGUUUAGAUGUAUGUGUCACGGUGCUCAUCUUCUGUCUGUCCCAUCCCGACUCCUUGGAUUCUACUGCUGUAGAGCAGCAGUGUGUGCAUCAGUUCCUCCUGCUCAGUAACAUCCCGGACAGAGGGCACACUUGUUUCUGCUGUCAUUCCAAAACCAACUGUGGAGAGAAGGCCUUUGGGAGCAGAGUGGGAGCCAGAAGCAGGCUCCCUGGCAGCGCUGGACGGAGCUCAAGGGAAGCUGUUUCCCUCACCACCCUCCUGUGAGUUAACAGUCGAUGGUGACUAACAGGAAAGAAACUUCACCAUAGUGUAAACACCAAAAUGUUUGUAUUUGCCUUCCCGGUGGGUAUGAACGUUAUCUGAUUGUAGCGUGUUCUGUUUCUUGAAUUGUGUCGCUUCUGCAUCGCUCCUGUAGACAGAGAAUUAUUGUUACAAAGCAUGAAUUAUUGUCUAGCUCUAUAGACUGCGCCUGGUUUUCCACCCCCUCUGCACUUAAAGCUGAGGAGGCUGUAAGUGUGUCAGGACUCCGCCAACGCGGGAAGCGUCUUGACCGACAUCCGUGGCACUGGCCGCUCUCCCAGCUGGGCAUUUCAGUUAAAUGGGGGGACCUUGUGGGAGUCAGGCAGAACCAGCUUCAGGAAAAUAAUCUAAUCUGAGCAUUAGCGAUAAUUUACAUCCUGUCGAGGCCUGGCUCCAGAAUCCUGAGCUCCUGUAGGGGACCCGGGUAUUUAGCAGGUUGGAACAUGAGGCUCAGAACUGUUUUGUGCUGCGGUUUCUCUAUUGCUUUGAUAUCUCCCUUUAAAGAGAUGGGCACACUAAAAAUUAAUGAGCAGAUUCGGAGAUAAAGAGGUCUGUAAAACAGGGAUAACACUUAACUGCUUCAUGGGGGGCAUAAGGAUUAAUGAGUUAAUGUUCACAAAGUGCUUUGAAGAUGAAAAGUGCUAAGUCUGAUUGCAUCUGGUGGGUGAAGCAGAUGAGAAUGAAGAAGAGGUUCUCCAUUCCAUACUGUAACUACCGGGAACGAGGCCUUGCUAAAUGUCAUGAUAAAUAACGAUCUGAGGACGCUUUGCUCUCGUGCUGUCCCUGGCGAUUUGUAGUCGGGCAGCCCCUGGCAGAAGAUCGGUUUCCAGAACAGAUCCCAUAGUCUGUAAAUAGUCACGUCUCAUUUAUUCUGCUCGAAGUUACUUAUUUGGUUUCUGUGACUUUCGUUUGCUUUUCUUUCAUUCAUGUGUGUCCCGGAGAUGCUGGGCAGUGAAGCGCCCACAGCACCUGCCAGCUGGACCGUCACUUUGCAGUACGGCUUGUGUUCCCAUUGCUAAUCUCGUUAGUGGACACCGAUUAUUUCUCUGACCCCAGGGUGCCCAGCAGGGCGAGCGACAGGGACCCAUGGCAAAAUCCGUGGGCUGAAAACUCUGUCCUCUACCCCCACCGAACCCACUGCGGAAUGUAUUAAUUCUUUAAUAGAAUAAGUCUUGAUUGAAA